rnacentral:rRNA from 1 species
AUGCUCUACUAUCGCAGGCGAGCCACGGCAGUUGACCCGAGGCGCCGGUGGCCGGCCGGCUUCGCCAGAUGCCGCAGCAGAGGAAAAAAGGGCGACCGCUUUUCCAAAAGCGAACCCCGGGCUUCACACCCCCAACCCGCACGCCGCGGUCCGCGGCGUACUCUACUCUACCAGUCCACCAUACUCCGUCCCAGGGGCAGCCUGGUAAUUACGCCACCGCGGCGGAGAGAGAAAGGGAGGGGACUGACUGACUAUUUCUUUUACCCUCGCCACGACUGUACACGGGCGGCCAUGGCAGAAGCAGGGGCGAAGUUUCUCCCCCAUUUGGCCGCCGGUCUCCGCCUAUAUAUACCCCGCCCGCACGCGCCUCCUUCCCUGGCCAGACCGAGCUGCUCUUCCUCCUCCAGUCCAGACGUGGCGGUUUGA